rnacentral:rRNA from 1 species
GACGAACGCUGGCGGCGCGCUUAACACAUGCAAGUCGAGCGAGAACCAGGACUUCGGUCCUGGGGAGAGCGGCGAACGGGUGCGUAACACGUGAGCAACCUGCCCCGAAGACCGGGACAACCCGAGGAAACUCGGGCUAAUACCGGAUGCCUUCACCGGAUCGCAUGAUCUGGUGAAGAAAUGGAUUCCGCUUCGGGAUGGGCUCGCGGUCUAUCAGCUUGUUGGUGGGGUAACGGCCUACCAAGGCGACGACGGAUAGCUGGUCUGAGAGGACGAUCAGCCACACUGGGACUGAGACACGGCCCAGACUCCUACGGGAGGCAGCAGUGGGGAAUCUUGCGCAAUGGGGGAAACCCUGACGCAGCGACGCCGCGUGCGGGAUGAAGGCCUUCGGGUUGUAAACCGCUUUCAGCAGGGACGAAAUUGACGGUACCUGCAGAAGAAGGCCCGGCCAACUACGUGCCAGCCGCCGCCGUAA